rnacentral:rRNA from 1 species
GAUGAACGCUGGCGGCGUGCCUAAUACAUGCAAGUCGAGCGAACGGACGAGAAGCUUGCUUCUCUGAUGUUAGCGGCGGACGGGUGAGUAACACGUGGAUAACCUACCUAUAAGACUGGGUUAACUUCGGGAAACCGGAGCUAAUACCGGAUGAUAUUUUGAACCGCAUGGUUCAAAAGUGAAAGACGGUCUUGCUGUCACUUAUAGAUGGAUCCGCGCUGCAUUAGCUAGUUGGUAAGGUAACGGCUUACCAAGGCAACGAUGCAUAGCCGACCUGAGAGGGUGAUCGGCCACACUGGAACUGAGACACGGUCCAGACUCCUACGGGAGGCAGCAGUAGGGAAUCUUCCGCAAUGGGCGAAAGCCUGACGGAGCAACGCCGCGUGAGUGAUAAAGGUCUUCGGAUCGUAAAACUCUGUUAUUAGGGAAGAACAUAUGUGUAAGUAACUGUGCACAUCUUGACGGUACCUAAUCAGAAAGCCACGGCUAACUACGUG